rnacentral:rRNA from 1 species
CCCUUAGAUGUUCUGGGCCGCACGCGCGCUACACUGUUCGACGCAGCGAGUCUUAACCUUGACCGAAAGGUUUGGGUAAUCUUCAGCAAAGUCGAACGUGAUGGGGAUCGAUCAUUGCAAUUAUUGAUCGUGAACGAGGAAUUCCUAGUAAGUGCAAGUCAUCAGCUUGCGCUGAUUACGUCCCUGCCCUUUGUACACACCGCCCGUCGCUACUACCGAUUGAAUGGUUUAGUGAGAUCUCUGGAUUGACGCUGGCUAGGGGGCGACCCUUGGCCAGGCUGUCGAGAAACGGCUCAAACUUGAUCAUUUAGAGGAAGUAAAAGUCGUAACA